ACGCUGAAGGGAGAGCUUGCUCUUCUGGAUGAGUUGCGAACGGGUGAGUAACGCGUAGGUAACCUGCCUGGUAGCGGGGGAUAACUAUUGGAAACGAUAGCUAAUACCGCAUAAUAGUAGAUGUUGCAUGACAUUUGCUUGAAAGGUGCAAUUGCAUCACUACCAGAUGGACCUGCGUUGUAUUAGCUAGUUGGUGGGGUAACGGCUCACCAAGGCGACGAUACAUAGCCGACCUGAGAGGGUGAUCGGCCACACUGGGACUGAGACACGGCCCAGACUCCUACGGGAGGCAGCAGUAGGGAAUCUUCGGCAAUGGACGGAAGUCUGACCGAGCAACGCCGCGUGAGUGAAGAAGGUUUUCGGAUCGUAAAGCUCUGUUGUAAGUCAAGAACGAGUGUGAGAGUGGAAAGUUCACACUGUGACGGUAGCUUACCAGAAAGGGACGGCUAACUACGUGCCAGCAGCCGCGGUAAUACGUAGGUCCCGAGCGUUGUCCGGAUUUAUUGGGCGUAAAGCGAGCGCAGGCGGUUUGAUAAGUCUGAAGUUAAAGGCUGUGGCUCAACCAUAGUUCGCUUUGGAAACUGUCAAACUUGAGUUCAGAAGGGGAGAGUGGAAUUCCAUGUGUAGCGGUGAAAUGCGUAGAUAUAUGGAGGAACACCGGUGGCGAAAGCGGCUCUCUGGUCUGUAACUGACGCUGAGGCCCGAAAGCGUGGGGAGCGAACAGGAUUAGAUACCCUGGUAGUCCACGCCGUAAACGAUGAGUGCUAGGUGUUGGAUCCUUUCCGGGAUUCAGUGCCGC
rnacentral:rRNA from 1 species